rnacentral:rRNA from 1 species
UACGAAGGGUGCAAGCGUUAAUCGGAAUUACUGGGCGUAAAGGGUGCGUAGGCGGUUCGUUAAGUCUGUUGUGAAAUCCCCGGGCUCAACCUGGGAAUGGCAAUGGAUACUGGCGGGCUAGAGUGUGUCAGAGGAUGGUGGAAUUCCCGGUGUAGCGGUGAAAUGCGUAGAUAUCAGGAGGAACACCGGUGGCGAAGGCGGCUCUCUGGACCACAACUGACGCUGAGGCGCGAAAGCUAGGGGAGCAAACAGG